rnacentral:misc_RNA from 1 species
AAAAAAAAAAAAAUUAGAAAGAUAUUCCUCUCUGAUUCUGAGAAGUGACGAAAGUCUUUCUUGAAUCUCGCGUUUUGGCUCUCCGACCCGAACAAAGUCAGUCGAGGUUCGAUCUGCUUCUCGGCAAUCAAUCCGUUACAAAGUUUUAAUCUUUGGUAUCUUUCCUGUAUUAAUUGUUGCUGUUUGGAAGAAAUUACCUAACGAUGCCGUCUCUUCAAACCACGUUGCCUUCUGAACUCGCCAAUGAUGCCAUUAGAGUUAUUUAUCAUUCUCUUCAUUUUGCCUUUUUCCCCCCUUUUUGGUUUAAUUUCACAACGUAGCUUCAUUAAUAUUGGGCUUUCUAUUGCAGCUUUACCUUGAGUGCCUUCGAAGGGCUAAAUAUAUUGGUCAUCGGGUAAAACAAUCAUUUCCCCCUUUUUUAUCAUCAAUUUUUUGACAUUUUAUCAAGUAAUUGGCUUUGUCUAUGCAUUUAUAAUUGAAUAUUGAUUCUCAUAAUUUUAUCAUGUUCGUCAGAUAAUCUUGAGUUCAUUUGCCUACUUAGUUUGGUGCCUUGGGUGAUAUAAGGAUUGCGGUGAUAUAGUUAGGGAUGAGAUGGCCACGGAAAUUUGCUUAAACUGUAUUAAAGUGCAAAACUUUAGCUGUGCUUUUCUUUUCCCCCCUUUUCAAGGGAAGAAAAAGUUCUUAUUUUAUUUUUCAAUUUCAACUACAUUGUUGGUCUUUUUUUGUGUCUGGGUUUGUGCUUUUCCAAGGUUAGCGAUCGAGUUUUAGCUUUUCACUGCUUUUUGAGGAAAAAAAAUGUAUGGAGAUAGAAGGUUUUGGUAGUGAAGGUAGUUGGGGUAAGUAAGGGAUAAGUUGGGCCCUAGCUAGUCAAUGACUUUAUCAACUAUCAAGUGCCCGGGGUUGCCAGCUUAUAUUUUCUCAUCAGCUCAUUGAUCAUCUGUUGGAUUAUAACUACUGAGAAAUCAUUAUGGCCAUUGGUACGGAUUGUUCGAGAACCAAUAGUGGAACUCUUUUCAUUUUGAAGUGUGAUGACAAACAUAAAUACAAACCUCUUUUCCCAAUGCUCUCUGGAGAAUUGUACUUUUUGUAGCAGAGGAAGUGUAGAUCUCAAAGUUUAAAAUAUGAAAAAGGAAGGAGUAGAAUGAGGAUGAGAAUGACCACCAACAGCCAAUGUUUGUCCCGAAUUUGCUAUUAUGUCUGAUACUAUUUUCAUAGUGCUGGAUUCUGGAUCCUGGAUCCUGUACUCCUGGAUUAAAUGCUAGGGCUUGGGGUAUUCAAAGAUUAAGUGUCACAAUAUUUUGACUAAAGGAAUUGAUCAUUUCUUGUUUUGGGAACACGUCAUUCAACAGAUACAGGUCAAUUUUUAGUCAAUUCAUAAUAAUUCUAAUAAUUGUAUCAUAUUUUAAACCUUAGAUUAAACAUUAUAACAUUUAACUGCCAAAACUCAAUCUACCAAUGUUGUUUAGCUUGAUCAAAA